CUGCAAUGCAUCAUGGGAGCAGAAACACCACAGAGAAGAGUCUAAUACUCUGUAAUCUGUACCCCGAUGUCCACUGAGGUUCCUCGUGGUUCUCAACAAUUUCCCUACGAGGAUAAUGAACCAGGGGGCUCUGAUCCGAGUCACGGAGAGACGGUUCCCCAGAGUCUCCAUCCCUCCUGGAUCCUCCUGGAUCCUCCUGUCCACUCGUCAGCCUCAGGACCACUCUACCCAUGGUCCUGCCCCCCUCCCUUCCCAAAUGUAACUUGUAAUAAACAUGUUUAAGCUUCA